rfam:Halomonas sp. PBN3 contig40, whole genome shotgun sequence.
AAAGUCCCACCCGGCCAAGGCUAGCCACCAGCCGGCAGCGAGUGUUGCGUGGUGUCGGGUAACCGCCGCUGCGAAGCGUACACAGCGAGUGGAUAGGCCGUGUGAUAGAGCCCCGAAAUUGUGGUAGUGGCAGUCGCCGACAGUUUUCAAAUGCUGGAAGGCAACACGACCCUGCCGUAUGGCUUGGCAGGGAAGGGCCGCCGGGGUCGAAGAGCA